AUCAACCCUGUGACAUACCUAUAACGUUGCCUCGGCGGGAACAGACGGCCCCGUAACACGGGCCGCCCCCGCCAGAGGACCCCCUAACUCUGUUUCUAUAAUGUUUCUUCUGAGUAAACAAGCAAAUAAAUUAAAACUUUCAACAACGGAUCUCUUGGCUCUGGCAUCGAUGAAGAACGCAGCGAAAUGCGAUAAGUAAUGUGAAUUGCAGAAUUCAGUGAAUCAUCGAAUCUUUGAACGCACAUUGCGCCCGCCAGUAUUCUGGCGGGCAUGCCUGUUCGAGCGUCAUUACAACCCUCAGGCCCCCGGGCCUGGCGUUGGGGAUCGGCGGAAGCCCCCUGCGGGCACAACGCCGUCCCCCAAAUACAGUGGCGGUCCCGCCGCAGCUUCCAUUGCGUAGUAGCUAACACCUCGCAACUGGAGAGCGGCGCGGCCACGCCGUAAAACACCCAACUUCUGAAUGUUGACCUCGAAUCAGGUAGGAAUACCCGCUGAACUUAAGCAU
rnacentral:rRNA from 2 species